UACGGAGGGGGGCUAGCGUUGUUCGGAAUUACUGGGCGUAAAGCGCACGUAGGCGGCUCUGUAAGUUAGAGGUGAAAGCCUGGGGCUCAACUCCAGAACUGCCUUUAAGACUGCAUCGCUUGAAUCAUGGAGAGGCGGGUGGAAUUCCGAGUGUAGAGGUGAAAUUCGUAGAUAUUCGGAAGAACACCAGUGGCGAAGGCGGCCCGCUGGACAUGUAUUGACGCUGAGGUGCGAAAGCGUGGGGGAGCAAACAGG
rnacentral:rRNA from 1 species